UGACAGUUUCAGAGCUUGUAUGGUUC
rnacentral:piRNA from 1 species